rnacentral:lncRNA from 1 species
ACUUUCAGCAGUCUGGUUGCCGAGGGUGAGCUCGCUGGCAGAGGAACUUGCGCCUUCCAACUCUUAGGUUUGUUGCGUUCGGGUCGCAGUCGACUUUAAUGGGAACCAAGCAAAGCACCCAAUGGCCCCUGCCAUCAGGGGAGCGCAUGAACACAGUCACCCACUACUACAAACUGUGCAGUUGGGUUUCCCACAUUUGGGGAAAUGGCAGGGGUCAGCACAUCUGGAGUGUAAUGGAUGAGCCGUGCCCUGGAAAAACCACCUUUGUGAUUGUGAUAGCUCCUCUGCCAGGACCUCAGGAAUCUGUAACUAAGCACCAUGGAACUCCAAAAUGCUUUUGGUCCUGGAAAGGUGAAGACCUUGAUCCUAGCUAUUUAGCAUGAAUUACACACUAUCCUUAAUCUCAACAGAUUUGUGAAAAGACACAAAAAGUAAUGAGGACCAAAAAAAAAA